AUUCAUGACUGGGGUGAAGUCGUAACAAGGUAGCCCUAGGGGAACCUGGGGCUGGAUCACCUCCUUAUACGA
rnacentral:rRNA from 2 species